rnacentral:rRNA from 1 species
UCGCUCCUACCGAUUUCGAGUGAUCCGGUGAACCUUUUGGACCGCGCUGGUGACAGUGGCGGAAAGUCAAGUGAACCUUAUCACUUAGAGGAAGGAG